rnacentral:rRNA from 1 species
AUGCACGCUGGCGGCGUGCCUCAUCCCUGCCAGUCGAGCGAACAGACGAGGAGCUUGCUCCUCUGACGUUAGCGGCGGACGGGUGAGUAACACGUGGAUAACCUACCUAUAAGACUGGGAUAACUUCGGGAAACCGGAGCUAAUACCGGAUAAUAUAUUGAACCGCAUGGUUCAAUAGUGAAAGACGGUUUUGCUGUCACUUAUAGAUGGAUCCGCGCCGCAUUAGCUAGUUGGUAAGGUAACGGCUUACCAAGGCAACGAUGCGUAGCCGACCUGAGAGGGUGAUCGGCCACACUGGAACUGAGACACGGUCCAGACUCCUACGGGAGGCAGCAGUAGGGAAUCUUCCGCAAUGGGCGAAAGCCUGACGGAGCAACGCCGCGUGAGUGAUGAAGGUCUUCGGAUCGUAAAACUCUGUUAUUAGGGAAGAACAAAUGUGUAAGUAACUAUGCACGUCUUGACGGUACCUAAUCAGAAAGCCGCGGCUAACUACGUG